rnacentral:rRNA from 1 species
AUUGAACGCUGGCGGCAGGCUUAACACAUGCAAGUCGAACGAGUGGCGGACGGGUGAGUAAUGCUUGGGAAUCUAGCUUAUGGAGGGGGAUAAAUACGGGAAACUGUAGCCAAUACCGCGUACAUUAUGAGUAGCCCAAGUGGGAUUAGGUAGUUGGUGGGGUAAAGGCUCACCAAGCCGACGAUCUCUAGCUGGUCUGAGGGAAUGACCAGCCAAACUGGGACUGAGACACGGCCCAGACUCCUAGGGAAGGCAGAAGUGGGGAAUAUUGCGCAAUGGGGGCAACCUGACGCAGCCAUGCCGGGUGAAUGAAGAAGGCCUUCGGGUUGUAAAGUUCUUUCGGUAGCGAGGCGUUAACUACAGAAGAAGCACCGGCUAACUCCGUGCCAGCCGCCGCGGUAAUAC